CCUGUUCGAUUUUGUUCGAUUUCCUGUUUGAUUUCGCUUGGUUUUUGUUCGUUUUCAUUUGUGAUUUUUGUUCAAUGGCAAAAACCUUAUGUUCCUGGGUUACUUGAUGAAGUGAGAAUAGGUCAGAAUGUUGUUGUCAUUUCUUGUAAAUUGAAAUUGUGAUUAUCUGUGGAUACUACAUUCAGAAAUGGAGAGGCAACAAUAAAAGCCUUUGUUUCUGUUAGUUUGUCUCUUGGAGACCAGCCGCUUGCUGCUCAAUUUCAGGAAAUUCCUGCAGAGCUUCGGAUGUCAGAAGCUGAGAGGGUUGGAUAUGAACUUUUGAAAUCAACUGUGGCGGACAAAAUUCCAAGUGAUUUGGAAGGCAUGGAAAGUACUCUGGAGAGGUUGCUGGCUUUAAUUGCAAUGGACCAAAGCAAACCUGAUUUAAAAUGGAUUAACGCAAUUCCUAUCAACAAGAACACAAUAAGUUAUGGCCUUUUAAUUUGAAGUUGAUUAGAAAGUGAAAUUAGCCUAACAGCCUUACCAAAAGAUGACCAUCCCUCAAGUAUGACCCCACCUGUAUUUGAAUUGACCCUACUACUACUGCUUGAAGUUAUGCUAUGCCUAAUAGUGGCAAAAGUUAUACAGUUUAUAAAGUAUAUAAUGUAUGAUAUUGGUGUUUGAUUCACUAAUGCCUAGUAAUGGCAAAAGUUAUACAAUUUAUAAAGUAAAUAAUGUAUGAUAUUGG